CUAAAUGGUCGUGCAGUUGCGUGAUGAUAAUCACGAGGAAAGUCCGGACUCUAUAGAGGUAUGGUGCCGGUUAACAUCCGGCAGAGUAUUAUUACUUUAGGGCUAGUACCACAGAAAAUAUACCGCCGAGUAUUUCGGUAAGGGUGAAAAGGUGUGGUAAGAGCACACCGGUAAGUUGGCAACAAGUUACGCAUGGUUAACCCCACCAAGAGCAAGAUCAAAUAGGCAUUACAGAAUUUAAAUAUUUAUUUAAGUUCCUGGGUUACCUCUAAUCGGAUUGUAAUGCGGGUAGAUCGCUUGAGGUAAACGGUAACGUUUAUCCUAGAUAAAUAACUGCAAUGAAUUAAUAUUCAUACAGAAUCCGGCUUAUAGACCAGAUGAGCAG
rfam:Rickettsia prowazekii str. Madrid E, complete genome